CUUGGUCAUUUAGAGGAAGUAAAAGUCGUAACAAGGUCUCCGUUGGUGAACCAGCGGAGGGAUCAUUACAGAGUUGCAAAACUCCCUAAACCAUUGUGAACGUUACCUUCAAACCGUUGCUUCGGCGGGCGGCCCGGGUCCGCCCGGUGCCCCCUGGCCCCCUAGCGGGGCGCCCGCCGGAGGAAAACCCAACUCUUGAUUAUUAUGGCCUCUCUGAGUCUUCUGUACUGAAUAAGUCAAAACUUUCAACAACGGAUCUCUUGGUUCUGGCAUCGAUGAAAAACGCAGCGAAAUGCGAUAAGUAAUGUGAAUUGCAGAAUUCAGUGAAUCAUCGAAUCUUUGAACGCACAUUGCGCCCGCCAGUAUUCUGGCGGGCAUGCCUGUUCGAGCGUCAUUUCAACCAUCAAGCACCAGGCUUGUGUUGGGGACCUGCGGCUGCCGCAGGCCCUGAAAACCAGUGGCGGGCUCGCUGUCACACCGGGCGUAGUAGAUUUUAUCUCGCUCUGGGCGUGCUGCGGGUUCUUGCCGUGAAACCCCCCACAUAUCAAGGUUGACCUCGGAUCAGGUAGGAAUACCCGCUGAACUUAAGCAUAUCAAUAAGCGGAGGA
rnacentral:rRNA from 1 species